UACGGAGGGCGCGAGCGUUGCUCGGAUUUACUGGGCGUAAAGCGCGCGCAGGAGGUUAGAUAAGUCAGAGGUGAAAUCCCUUUGCUCAACGAAGGAACUGCAUUUGAUACUGUCGAGCUCGAGUACCGGAGGGGGGAGCGGAACUCUCGGUGUAGCGGUGAAAUGCGUGGAUAUCGGGAAGAACACCGGUGGCGAAGGCGGCUUCCUGGCCGGGACCUGACUCUCAUGUGCGAAAGCUAGGGGAGCGAACGGG
rnacentral:rRNA from 1 species